UGGGGAAUAUUGCACAAUGGACGGAAGUUUGAUGCAGCGACGCCGCGUGGAGGGUGUAGGCCUUCGGGUUGUGAACUCCUUUUUCUCGCGAAAAAGGCACAGUUUUGGCUGUGUUGAUGGUAGUGGGGGAAGAAGCGCCGGCUAACUACGUGCCAGCAGCCGCGGUAAUACGUAGGGCGCGAGCGUUGUCCGGAUUUAUUGGGCGUAAAGAGCUCGUAGGUGGUUCGUCGCGUCUGUCGUGAAAGCCAGCAGCUUAACUGUUGGUCUGCGGUGGGUACGGGCGGGCUUGAGUGCGGUAGUGGUGACUGGAAUUCCUGGUGUAGCGGUGGAAUGCGCAGAUAUCAGGAGGAACACCGAUGGCGAAGGCAGGUCACUGGGCCGUUACUGACACUGAGGAGCGAAAGCGUGGGGAGCGAACAGG
rnacentral:rRNA from 1 species